AUUGAACGCUGGCGGCAGGCCUAACACAUGCAAGUCGAGCGGAUGAGAGGAGCUUGCUUCUCGAUUCAGCGGCGGACGGGUGAGUAAUGCCUAGGAAUCUGCCUGGUAGUGGGGGACAACGUUUCGAAAGGAACGCUAAUACCGCAUACGUCCUACGGGAGAAAGCAGGGGACCUUCGGGCCUUGCGCUAUCAGAUGAGCCUAGGUCGGAUUAGCUAGUUGGUGAGGUAAUGGCUCACCAAGGCGACGGUCCGUAACUGGUCUGAGAGGAUGAUAAGUCACACUGGAACGAAGGCACUGUCCAGACUCCUACGGGAGGCAGCAGUGGGGAAUAUUGGACAAUGGGCGAAAGCCUGAUCCAGCCAUGCCGCGUGUGUGAAGAAGGUCUUCGGAUUGUAAAGCACUUUAAGUUGGGAGGAAGGGUUGUAGAUUAAUACUCUGCAAUUUUGACGUUACCGACAGAAUAAGCACCGGCUAACUCUGUGCCAGCCGCCGCCGUAAAAC
rnacentral:rRNA from 1 species